rnacentral:lncRNA from 10 species
CAGUAGUGUGAUCAUAGCUCACUGUAGCCUUGAACGAACUUUUGGGCUCAAGCAGUUCUCUCACCUUAGCAUCCUGAGUAGCUGGAAGUACAGGACUGCAGGAUCCUCCUGUCUGUCGAGCCCACGGACCAAGGCUGCUACCCCCUGAACAACCAUCUCUUCUGCAAGCCAUGCCAUGUGAAGCGGAGUGCUGCGGGGUGCUGCUGAGAGUGCCCGCUGGGCAGUGAACAGACCACUAGCCCCGGCUGGGGCCCUUCCCUGACUUGGUUUCCCUUCCUAACCUGCUCUUGCACACUUUCCUUCUGAGCCUCCAUGGAGACCAGCCUGCAAGCCGGCCCAGCCUGUCCAGGAUACAGUGGGGCUGAGCACCCCCAGGCCUUCCACUCCUCUACCCUCUGGGCACCAGAAGGCUCCUGGACCAUGAGCUUCACCCCCAGAAUUCCCUGCUGACCCUGCCCCACUUCCAGGGAAAAGCUGGGGGAGGUUGGACCCCUCUCACUGACUAGCUGUCUGGUAGGGGUGCUAGGACCAGCCUCGCCUGUGGGGUUGAGCUGUUUGAGGACAAACUCCAAGGUCCCUUAAAAAGUGCCUUUUAGAGGCUGGGCAUGGUGGCUCACGCUUGUAAUCCCAGCACUUUGGGAGGCCAAGGUGGGUGGAUCACCUGAGGUCAGGAGUUCAAGACCAGCCUGGCCAACAUGGUGAAACCCUGUCUCUACUAAAAAUACAAAAAUUAGCCAGGCAUGGUAGCAGGUGCCUGUAAUCCCAGCUACUGGGGAAAGCUGAGGCAGGAGAAUUGCUUCAAUCUGGAAGGCAGAGGUUGCAGUGAGAUUGCACCAUUGCAUUCCAGCCUGGGCAACAAGAGGGAAACUCCGUCUCAAAAAAAAAAAAGUGCCUUUUAGGCCGGAUGUGGUGGCUCAUGCCUGUAAUCCCAGCACUUUGGGAGGCCAAGGCAGGCAGAUCACUUGAGGUCAGGAGUUUGAGACCAGCCUGGCCAACACGGCAAAACCCCGUUUCUACUAAAAAUACAAAAAUUAGCUGGGUGUGGUGGCGUGCGCCUGUAAUCCCAGCUACUCAGGAGGCUGAGGCAGGAGCAUUGCUUGAACCCGGGAGGCAGAGGUUGCAGUGAGCUGAGAUGGCACCACUGCACUCCAGCCUGGGAGACACAGCGAGACUCUGUCUCCAAAAAAAAAAGUGCUUUUUGAAAAUGUUGAGGUUGAAAUGAUGGGAACCAACAUUCUUUGGAUUUAGUGGGGAGCAUAAUAGCAAACACCCCCUUGGUUCGCACAUGUACAGGAAUGGGACCCAGUUGGGGCACAGCCAUGGACUUCCCCGCCCUGGAAUGUGUGGUGCAAAGUGGGGCCAGGGCCCAGACCCAAGAGGAGAGGGUGGUCCGCAGACACCCCGGGAUGUCAGCAUCCCCCGACCUGCCUUCUGGCGGCACCUCCCGGGUGCUGUGUUGAGUCAGCAGGCAUGGGGUGAGAGCCUGGUAUAUGCUGGGAACAGGGUGCAGGGGCCAAGCGUUCCUCCUUCAGCCUUGACUUGGGCCAUGCACCCCCUCUCCCCCAAACACAAACAAGCACUUCUCCAGUAUGGUGCCAGGACAGGUGUCCCUUCAGUCCUCUGGUUAUGACCUCAAGUCCUACUUGGGCCCUGCAGCCCAGCCUGUGUUGUAACCUCUGCGUCCUCAAGACCACACCUGGAAGAUUCUUCUUCCCUUUGAAGGAGAAUCAUCAUUGUUGCUUUAUCACUUCUAAGACAUUUUGUACGGCACGGACAAGUUAAACAGAAUGUGCUUCCCUCCCUGGGGUCUCACACGCUCCCACGAGAAUGCCACAGGGGCCGUGCACUGGGCAGGCUUCUCUGUAGAACCCCAGGGGCUUCGGCCCAGACCACAGCGUCUUGCCCUGAGCCUAGAGCAGGGAGUCCCGAACUUCUGCAUUCACAGACCACCUCCACAAUUGUUAUAACCAAAGGCCUCCUGUUCUGUUAUUUCACUUAAAUCAACAUGCUAUUUUGUUUUCACUCACUUCUGACUUUAGCCUCGUGCUGAGCCGUGUAUCCAUGCAGUCAUGUUCACGUGCUAGUUACGUUUUUC